rnacentral:lncRNA from 1 species
CACUUACUCACCUCAGUGACUGGUGUGCGCAGCCACUCCCUGCAGAAACCUCUCCCUGCCUCCAUCCUUCUCUUGCCCCUGAGAGGCUUUGAGACUCAUCUAUCUUCAUAUGUACAUUUCCCACAGGACCAGAGCCGGCUUCUUCCAUGGCAGGACCUGCAAAUGCUGGACUCACAGAAGGCUCUGAGAAGUAAAUAACAGGUGAGGCUGGGGGUGCCUUCUUAUUUCUUGGGGUUGUCCCCAGUCUGUUAAGAGACAGUCUAACCUUGCCUUUGAAUUUCUUUUUCUUUUCUUUUUGAG